GGAGAGAUGCGAGAGUGGUUGAAUCGGGCGGUCUCGAAAACCGUUGUGCCCGUAAGGGCACCGAGGGUUCGAAUCCCUCUCUCUCCG
rnacentral:tRNA from 2 species